ensembl:rRNA 5S_rRNA 5S ribosomal RNA
GUCGGUGGCCAUGCCACCCUGAUCCAGAAGCCAAGCACAGGUGGACCUAGGCAGUAGUUGGUUGGAAGACCGCCUGGGAAAACGGGGUGCUGUUGGCU